rnacentral:tRNA from 1 species
GGGCCGCGGUGAUAGUUGCACCCGUUCAUGACCUGGAGAUCAGUAGUUCGUCAGUGGCUCAGAACCUGAAGGCCGCAGGUUCAAAUCCUGCCCGAGCUCA